CCUUGGCGAAGGCUUUGGUGCAGGACGGACAGACAAAUGGUUUCUCUCCUCUGUGUCUCCUCUCGUGAUCCUUCAGGUGAGACUUGUGUUUAAACGCCUGCAGACAGACAGGUGAGACAGCUGAGUGACAGACAGACAGGUGAGACAGCUGAGUGACAGACAGACAGGUUAGACAGGUGAGAGACAGACAGACAGGUGAGACAGGUGAGAGACAGACAGACAGGUUAGACAGCUGAGUGACAGACAGACAGCUGAGUGACAGACAGACAGGUGAGACAGCUGAGUGACAGACAGACAGCUGAGUGACAGACAGACAGGUGAGUGACAGACAGACAGGUGAGUGACAGACAGACAGGUGAGACAGCUGAGUGACAGACAGACAGGUGAGUGACAGACAGACAGCUGAGUGACAGACAGACAGGUGAGAGAC